rnacentral:rRNA from 1 species
AGUGAACGCUGGCGGUAGGCCUAACACAUGCAAGUCGAACGGCAGCACAGUAAGAGCUUGCUCUUACGGGUGGCGAGUGGCGGACGGGUGAGGAAUAUAUCGGAAUCUACUUUUUCGUGGGGGAUAACGUAGGGAAACUUACGCUAAUACCGCAUACGACCUACGGGUGAAAGCAGGGGAUCUUCGGACCUUGCGCGAUUGAAUGAGCCGAUGUCGGAUUAGCUAGUUGGCGGGGUAAAGGCCCACCAAGGCGACGAUCCGUAGCUGGUCUGAGAGGAUGAUCAGCCACACUGGAACUGAGACACGGGCCAGACUCCUACGGGAGGCAGCAGUGGGGAAUAUUGGACAAUGGGCGCAAGCCUGAUCCAGCCAUACCGCGUGGGUGAAGAAGGCCUUCGGGUUGUAAAGCCCUUUUGUUGGGAAAGAAAAGCAGCAGGUUAAGACCCCGCUGUUCUGACGGUACCCAAAGAAUAAGCACCGGCGAACUUCGU